UGCAAAUGUGAACGAGAAAACUCCCUUUGUGUUCACAUUUUGGUACCUACUUAGUCUCCAUCCAUUCCAAUAAUAAUUGAUCUAGUUUGAUUAAUUAUUUGUUUUUAUACGCUUAAAAGUUAUGGGUAUGUUUGAAUUGUCUAAAAAGAUUAUAUUUUUAUAGUAUUUUUCACUCUAGAAUUCUUGCUGUUCUUCAUCCACUCUUCAUCAGCAGCUACAUGUCAAACUUCAGACAGAUAUGCUCUGUUACAGUUCAAGAAAACCUUCAUUUCUGAUCCAUAUUUCCUCAGCUUCUCUUCCAAAGAUUGCUUCUCGAGGCGUUGAAGGUGAACCAACCAUAUGACUGCUGUUCAUAAGAUGGCAUCUUAUGCUUUUGGAUUUAUGGGUGAUUUAAAAUAGUAUGGCAGUUAGUUCAAGAAGGUAACCUGCCACUCAAAGCAUCAGUAAUUGGAAUGCCAUGAAGAUUAUUACUACCCCAACUACCAAAUCAUCAAAUAUGAAAGCAAAUAGUACAUGUUUCUUUUUUGCAAAUUAUGCUUGGGCACUUGAGUAUUAUUACUCGAUUACCAUAAUCAAUAAAGGCUAUGAGAGAAGCUUCUCCAAGAUUCAAGAGGCUUUCACCAGUAUGGAUCUCUCAAGCAACAGAUUUGAAGGCGAAAUCCCAGAUGAAAUUGGCGAAUUAAAGGGUCUACAUUCUCUCGGUCUGUCUCACAAUACACUUAGUGGUCGAAUCCUACCGUCUUUAGGGAACAUAACACAGCUUGAAUCUUUGGAUCUUUCAAACAGCAAGCUUUCAGGGGAGAUUCCAGAAACAUUGGCUCAGCUCACUUUCCUUCCAACUUUUACUGUUCCCAAAAUAAACUCUUGGGUCUAAUACCAGAAGGGAAUCAGCUUAACAACAUUGAAAGGAGUUCAUACGAGGGAAGUGAAGGAUUCUGUGGGAAGCCAUUGGGGAAGAAAUGUGGGGAAUAUGAGGCCAAAGACAAAGAGAAGAGAAGCGUCUUUGUUUGAUUUUGGUUGGAAAAAUAGUGUUGAUUGGAUAGCGUUGUGGGGUAUUGUUUGGAAUGAUAGCUGGGAUUUAUGUAAUCAAGAGAAGGGAAGCAUGGUUUUUGAGGAUUUAUAGAGUUUGCACAACCAAAGAUAAAGGUGAAAAGAAGAACAAACAAUUGAAAGAGAUGAUAAAGUUCUUGUUUUUCCACCUUGUAGCUAGAGAUGAUAAGUGAGUUCUGUGAUGUUUUCUAGAAUAGUAAAAAGUGUUUUAAGCACUGAAGUGAAUAUAGCACCACUUCUUCUAAAAGUAUUUAUACAAAUGUUUCACUUUAAAAACA